GGGAAUGUGGCUUAGUGGUAGAGUGCUUGCCUAGCUAGCGUGCAUGAAGCCCUGGGUUCGAUUCCUAAGUAGUGCUG
rnacentral:tRNA from 1 species